CAGAGGGCACUGUCCUCUUUCAUCAUGGCUUGGCACUGAUAUUUUAUGGUUGACCAUGAGGAAAGGAGUUGGCCAAAGUUCACAGUAGUUCGGGGCAGGAAUUCCAGGGACAGCAGAUAGAAUAAACUGGUCCUGAAGCCCUCCCCAUGUGUUGCGUCACAGGAGCACCCAGGCUCGAGGCUCUGGCCAACGAAGCUUUCCUGGUAGCCCUGUCCACACCAGGCUAAAAGGAGUCUGAAGGCCUGGUCCCUUGGAGCCCCUUCCAAGAGACUAAGCUCCUGACAUCAUUGCCUACACCAUCCUCAGAAGCCUAGCUGAGUGGGACAGACAGAAGCAGAGAGGAAGGAAGAGAGUGUGGCAAACAUCACAGAAGCUUCAGGAAGCACAGAGCCUUAAUCGUGACUUUAAUUAAACUUCAGCUCCUGAAAAUUUUCCUUUGAAAUGUGACCAGCUCAGUUACCCUCUCUUCCUGCCAACCCCCUCACCUUUCCUGCAUCUCUUCUCUGUAGCCUUCUGAGGAAGAGAGCCUCCAGCUUUCUCCAAAGUUAGAGCCCAUGGAGGCACCAGCUGAAGCUGAGGGCAAACUCGGUAUCUUGACUUGAAAACACUUGCAAGUCUCAGCAUGUGCACUAAAUGCGUGCAUUUGGACCCAUGUCCAUUCCCUUCUGCUGUUGCUUCCUCCACAGAGAUCAGGAGCUGUGGGCAGGGCCGGGGGAUGAGUGGAGCAUGGCCCGGGCAGCUGUGGGAGUAGAGACCUAGACCUUGGCCUCUGAUGUCAACGGCCAACUUCCACAUGAGAGACAGGAGCAGAAUCCAGAGAUCCUUGGUGCUGGGAGCAGGGAAGCCCAAGCCAUGGAGUUGUGCGUGUGGAUUGCUUGGAAAGGGCUCAGCAGAGAUGCAUCAUCGGUCGGCUGCCGGCUGUGCCAGGUCCUUCCCACUGUGCACGUGGGCUUCUGGUGGCAAGAGGUGAGUAGCUAAAAACCCCGUGAGAUUUCCGGUCUCAAUCAGAGAUCUGCUUGAUGACAGUGCUCCCUCUUUCCGCUUUAAACCUCAGGGGUUAGGUUACUUCUCUGAAAUACCUUCAUAGAAUGAUGUCAUAUAUGAAGAGUAUGAGCACUUAUGUCUGUAUAAUAUAGAAUCAUAUUCAAAGGAAUACACUGUAUGUAUAAAAU
rnacentral:lncRNA from 1 species